GUUAAAGUUUAGACGGCACAACGUCCGCUAGUCAUUCUUUUAAUGCUUGGAGUUUGUGGGUCCGGCUCGGGGCCCAUUGACUGGGCCCUCCGCCGACAAAUGUGCACAGUGGGUUUGCAAGGGUUGAGCGGCGAGGGCUCACCCGCUGCACGGGGCCUUUCGGUUCCCGGAGCAGGGCGCGCCCUCACCGUCAGAGAUACGUUAAUGAUCCUUCCGCAGGUUCACCUACGGAAA
rnacentral:misc_RNA from 1 species